UACGGAGGGGGCUAGCGUUGUUCGGAAUUACUGGGCGUAAAGCGCACGUAGGCGGCUUUGUAAGUUAGAGGUGAAAGCCCGGGGCUCAACCCCGGAAUUGCCUUUAAGACUGCAUCGCUAGAAUUGUGGAGAGGUGAGUGGAAUUCCGAGUGUAGAGGUGAAAUUCGUAGAUAUUCGCAAGAACACCAGUGGCGAAGGCGGCUCACUGGCCCGAUACUGACGCUGAGGCACGAAAGCGUGGGGAGCAAACAGG
rnacentral:rRNA from 1 species